UCUUUCUGUGAUUAUCGAAUACAUACAGCAACAACUUUCAUUUUUCCUUCGUGUAUAUUUCAUCUUCCCUAUAAUUUUACAUACAUACGUGAGCUUGUGUAGAGUGUGAAAAGGGCCUGAACCAACAUUUGGUAUCAGAGCCUGGGGCUCGUCGAGAAGCGGGUUUGAAGAUCGGAGGAAGCCUCCGCCGCCGGCGGGUGUGCCGGGUCGGUGGAGGGCAGUUGUAAAACAAGGUGUUGUUUCGGGGAUGUUUAACAGCGGAAGACGAAGACGUUAUGGUGUUCGGGUCAGCCGUUGUUUCGGGUAAGAACCGGUUGAGAUGAUAGGGGUGAUCGUGAUGAAUAUCGGCAUUCGUAGCUGUUAGCGGUGAUGAAAGAAAGAUGAUUCAGGGCUGUUCGGUUAUUAGUUACGGGUUUGAGCAACUGGCAUAUAUUCGGUGACAACAGCAGGAUUUGAAGUGCGUUGAUCGGCUUGGUUCGUGACAAGAGUAGACCGGCGUGGUGCGUGAAAAGCGGGCAGAAUGGAUCCGUCAAAGCAGGUGGGUUUGGAUUCGUCUCGUUUGGCAAGGUGAGAAAACGGAAGAAGCGGGUGGCUUGUUUUCUUUGUCGGUGUAGAGCCUUUUGAACAAGGGUGAUCGGAAAAAUGUAAAGAAAAAAACACGGGUGUAAACAUAAUGGCAUUGGAGUUCAAAUCGGGUGACUCGGAUGUGGCCGGGGAAAGGUCGUUGAUCCGUGAUGAGUCAAGAUGUGAAUAGACGGUUCCAACAGGAUGCCAUGUGAGAUGUUGCAAGUGUGGUGAAUUUAUUAUGGCUGAUCCGAGAAGGCUUUGGGCAUGACCACGGUUGAAGUUCGAGUGUCCGUGAAAAGUCAGAGAUGGUUCGGAAAAAACGGUGAUUCGAGUGGCAUAAACAACCGAUUAAGGGGGUGAAUGUUGGGUUAAUCGGGUUCGUUUACAAGGUCGUGGGUCGACACAUUAUUGUUCACGUUUCAAAUGAAAGUUUACGUGAGGAUAUGCAUGGUGCACAUGGUUGAAGAGUGGGUCUCAUUGUACGUACUUAUUUCCUAGGAAGACUUGGUUUAUUUCGGUUUGUUUGUUAGUGUAGUAGGCUAUAUAUAUAGCUCAAUUAUUUAAUGAAAGAUACACCCAUCUUUCUGU
rnacentral:lncRNA from 1 species